rnacentral:rRNA from 1 species
AGUGAACGCUGGCGGUAGGCCUAACACAUGCAAGUCGAACGGCAGCACAGUAAGAGCUUGCUCUUACGGGUGGCGACUGGCGGGCGGUUCAGGAGUACAUCCGAAUCUGCUUUUUCGUGGGGGAUAACGUAGGGACACAUACGCUAAUACUGCAUACGACCUAGGGGUGAAAGCAGGGACCUUUCGCUCUUAGCGCGACCUAAUGCGCCGAUGUCGGAUUAGCUAGUUGGCGGGGUAAAGGCCCACCAAGGCGACGAUCCGUAGCUGGUCUGAGAGGAUGAUCAGCCACACUGGAACUGAGACACGGUCCAGACUCCUACGGGAGGCAGCAGUGGGGAAAAUUGGACAAUGGGCGCAAGCCUGAUCCAGCCAUACCGCGUGUGUGAAGAAGGCCUUCGGAUUGUAAAGCCCUUUUGUUGGGAAAGAAAAGCAGCAGGUUAAUACCCCGCUGUUCUGACGGUACCCAAAGAAUAAGCACCGGCUAACUUCGUG